GUAUGCAUAAAAUGGCAGAAGCAGGUCUUUCCAGGCAUAGAGAUUGAUACUAGCCAGCCGCCUAUGGUUUUCAAGACCCAGUUGUACACACUGACUGGUGUACCCCCUGAACGGCAAAAAAUUAUGGUAAAGGGUGGAAUAUUGAAGGAUGACACAGAUUGGUCUACUUUGGGACUUAAAGAUGGUCAAAAGUUGAUGAUGAUAGGUACGGCUGAUGAAAUUGUGAAAGCUCCAGAGAAAGGCCCCGUGUUUGUUGAAGAUUUACCAGAAGAAGAGCAAGCGGCUGCAUUGGGGCACAGUGCUGGUCUCUAUAACUUGGGGAAUACAUGUUACAUGAAUUCCACUCUGCAGUGUCUGCAUUCUGUUCCAGAGCUUAAGUCAGCAUUACUGAGUUAUUCAGAUAAUGUGAGGGGCAAUGGGGUGGAUCAAGCAUCCCAUAGUUUAACAGUUGCAACUCGUAAUACUUUCGGAGAGCUUGAUCAAAGCGUUCGACCAGUUGCACCUCUGCAUUUCUUACAGAUGCUGCGGAAAAAAUACCCCCAAUUUGCUCAACAGCAAAAUAAUGUUUACAUGCAGCAGGACGCAGAGGAGUGCUGGACACAGCUGAUCUAUACGCUUUCUCAAACACUUACAUCAGAAGCAAGUGAACCUACUGCUGCUCAGAUGAAGGAACUUUUCGGGAUUGAUCUUGUGAGCAGGGUACACUGUGCAGAAAGUGGUGAGGAGAGUUCAGAGUCAGAGUCAGUUUAUUCUCUGAAGUGCCAUAUAUCUCAUGAUGUAAACCACCUUCAUGAAGGACUGAAGCAUGGUUUGAAGACAGAACUUGAGAAGGUUUCCCCAUCACUGGGCCGGACUGCUAUUUACACAAGAGAGUCGAGAAUAAAUGAGUUGCCUAGGUACUUGACUGUGCAGUUUGUUCGUUUCUUUUGGAAAAGGGAGUCAAACCAAAAGGCGAAGAUUUUACGUAAAGUGGAUUACCCUCUGGAGCUUGAUGUCUAUGACUUCUGUUCGGAUGAGCUGAAACUAAAACUUCAAACUCCUCGACAGGUGCUGAGAGAUGCAGAAAGUGCCAAGUUUGGUUUGAAAGUAGAGGUGAAAACAAGCAGAACACAGAAUAUCGAGGGGUCAUCAACUAGUGCUGGGGAAUCAUCCAGCAUGGACAUUGACAAAGCUGAUUCUUCUGUGCCAAAGAAACAAUUAACUGGCAUCUAUGAUCUAAUUGCUGUCUUGACACACAAGGGAAGAAGUGCAGAUUCUGGCCACUACGUUGGCUGGGUUAAGCAAGAUGAUGGAAAAUGGAUUGAGUUUGAUGACGACAACCCAAGCAUACGGAAGGAGGAAGAGAUUUUGAAACUAUCUGGUGGAGGCGAUUGGCACAUGGCAUAUAUCUGCCUUUACAAAGCUCGUGUUAUCUGA
rnacentral:rRNA from 1 species